rnacentral:rRNA from 1 species
AGUGAACGCUGGCGGUAGGCCUAACACAUGCAAGUCGAACGGCAGCACAGUAAGAGCUUGCUCUUACGGGUGGCGAGUGGCGGACGGGUGAGGAAUACAUCGGAAUCUACUUUUUCGUGGGGGAUAACGUAGGGAAACUUACGCUAAUACCGCAUACGACCUACGGGUGAAAGCAGGGGAUCUUCGGACCUUGCGCGAUUGAAUGAGCCGAUGUCGGAUUAGCUAGAUGGCGGGGUAAAGGCCCACCAAGGCGACGAUCCGUAGCUGGUCUGGGAGGAUGAUCAGCCACACUCGCACUGAUACACGGUCCAGACUCCUACGGGAGCCAGCAGUGGGGAAUAUUGGACAAUGGGCGCAAGCCUGAUCCAGCCAUACCGCGUGGGUGAAGAAGGCCUUCGGGUUGUAAAGCCCUUUUGUUGGGAAGGAAAAGCAGCAGGUUAAUACCCCGCUGUUCUGACGGUACCCAAAGAAUAAGCACCGGCUAACUUCGUG